rnacentral:rRNA from 1 species
UACGUAGGGUGCGAGCGUUGUCCGGAAUUAUUGGGCGUAAAGAGCUCGUAGGCGGUUUGUUGCGUCGGCCGUGAAAACCUGCAGCUUAACUGUGGGCCUGCGGCCGAUACGGGCAGACUUGAGUUCGGUAGGGGAGACUGGAAUUCCUGGUGUAGCGGUGAAAUGCGCAGAUAUCGGGAGGAACACCUAUGGCGAAGGCAGCUCGCUGGGACGUUACUGACGCUGAGACGCGAAAGCGUGGGGAGCAAACAGG